AUUGAACGCAGGCGGCAUGCCUUACACAUGCAAGUCGAACGGUAACAGGUCUUCGGAUGCUGACGAGUGGCGAACGGGUGAGUAAUACAUCGGAACGUGCCUAGUAGUGGGGGAUAACUACUCGAAAGAGUGGCUAAUACCGCAUGAGAUCUACGGAUGAAAGCAGGGGAUCGCAAGACCUUGUGCUACUAGAGCGGCCGAUGGCAGAUGAGGUAGUUGGUGGGAUAAAAGCUUACCAAGCCGACGAUCUGUAGCUGGUCUGAGAGGACGAUCAGCCACACUGGGACUGAGACACGGCCCAGACUCCUACGGGAGGCAGCAGUGGGGAAUUUUGGACAAUGGGCGCAAGCCUGAUCCAGCAAUGCCGCGUGCAGGAUGAAGGCCUUCGGGUUGUAAACUGCUUUUGUACGGAACGAAAAGCCCCGGGUUAAUACCCUGGGGUCAUGACGGUACCGUAAGAAUAAGCACCGGCUAACUACGUGCCAGCCGCCGCGGUAA
rnacentral:rRNA from 1 species